rnacentral:rRNA from 1 species
AUUGAACGCUGGCGGCAGGCCUAACACAUGCAAGUCGAGCGGAGCGGGGGACGGGUGCGGAAUGCCUAGGAAUCUGCCUGGUAGUGGGGGAUAACGUCCGGAAACGGGCGCUAAUACCGCAUACUAUCAGAUGAGCCUAGGUCGGAUUAGAUAGUUGGUGGGGAAAAGGCCUACCAAGGCGACGAUCCGGAACUGGUCUGAGGGGAUGAGCAGUCACACUGGAACUGAGACAGGGUCCAGACGCCUACGGGAGGCAGCAGUGGGGAAUAUUGGCCAAUGGGCGAAAGCCUGUUCCAGCCAUGCCGCGUGUGUGAAGAAGGUCUUCGGUUUGUAAAGCACUUUAAGUUGGGAGGCGUUACCAACAGAAUAAGCACCGGCUACCUUCGUGCCAGCGGCGGCGGUAAAC